UGGUGAUGGUGAGGGGUUGGGAUUGGGAAGCUGUCUUGGGAAAAAAGAAUAAUAACCUGGGAAGGCAGUGGUUUUCAAAGGGUGAUCUAUAGACCACUCUCAUCCAAAUCUUCUGGGAUCCUUGUUAAAAAUGUUGUUUCUGGGUGUGGAGCAUAGGUGGCCCAGUUGGUUUAAGUGACCAAUUCUUGAUUUCAGCUCAGGUCAUGAUCUGAGGGUUCGGGGGUUUGAGCCCUGCAUUGGGCUCUGUGCUGACGGCGCAGAGCCCGAUUGGGAUUCUCUGUCUCCCAAAAUAAAUUAACAUUUAAAAACAAAACAAAAAAGUUUCUUACUUACCCUGGCCCAGGAGAUACCAUGGUCAUGAAAGUGGUUUUCCCAGGGCAAGGUUUAUCCAUUGCACUCCGGGUGUGCCAAUCCCUGCGAUGUCCCUGAAUGUGGGAAGCCCGGCUGCAUAAUUUGUGGCAGUGGGGAACUGCUUUUGUGUUCCCCGCUGGAGGUAGGAACUUAAUCCAGGAUUAAGCUGGAACUUAAUCCUGUUAAGUUGCAGGAUUCUGCUCCAGACCUAUCAAAUGUCUCUAGUUUAGAGCCCAAGAAUAUGCAUUAUUGACCCUAUUUCUCUUGGAUUCGGGCAUCCUAACACGCGAUUUCUCGGUUAAUCAUAUUUUGAAAAUGCUCCCACAUUCAGAUAAGAACAAGUGAGCAAGUAACUGCCUUCUGGGUUCUUGUCAGAGAAUAUAAUCUUGAACACAUAGCCCAGUUGUCUUUCAUUUUUAGUGGGCAAUUAACAUAUUUACUCAAAUAAAAACAAACAUGAGUACAUGAUAAAGAUUUCGAUGUUUAAAAGUAUAAAAUUGGAAAGGAAAAAUACAUAUGCUUCCUAACCCUGAAACCGUGAUUAACAGUUUCUUACAUAUUUCUUGAAAAAAAAAAAUGCAUUGUUCUUGCUGCUCAAUAACUCAUGGAGGAUUUAAGUCCAUUCACUUUGAGAUACUGUAAAUUUUAUUCUCGGAUUCACUCACUUGACACAUAUUUGACUCUUACGGCAUUCCAGACACUGCUUAAUUUGUGGAAUGAAUACAGCCAGACAGAUACUCAUUAAGGUCGCAGAUAUUCUAGUCUAUUCUAUAAGCCCAACAAAUGUUUGACUCUACCUAGGCCACACUGAAUCCUAAAUUGCCCCCCCCCCACCUGAUUUGGAAUGCCCUUAGGUAAGAGGAAGCACCUGUCUCCAGUCUCAUGGCUCCCUAUCGUCACACCUGGAUGCCCCUGAGGGCAUCUGAUUUUGUGAUCCCAGGAUUAAGUCACCUCUGAGGGGUGUCUGCCAGGAGCAUAUUUUGUCCACCUUCAGGAUGACUUUUACUGAACUGCGAUUUGAUAUGAAACUGACUCUGCUGUGAAAACCAGUACCGGGAACUUUCAGUAGGUCUCAGGACAAGAGAAUUCUGUGUCUGUCCCAAGCAACUGUUUAUCUUAGGGGAGACUGUGUAUCUUCUGAGAAGCUCCCUUUGCUUUAGCUGCUAGGAAGUACAACCAGAUGUGUAGCCCACUUUGAUAGCAGCAGAGGAAUUACUAGCAUAAAUUUUGGGUGCAGCUCUGGCUUCAUCUUCUCUCCCCUGUAUUUUGCCCUUGAAUUUCCUCAUUUACUUUUAUCUUUUUAUGACAUCUCUGCAAGCCAUUUUAUACUCUUUUCUUAAAAAAUGAGUCAGGAUACAAGUAAGUAAAUCACAACAGGAAAUGAACUGAUGUAUUAAUUAUGAUGGCAAAGACUUCAGGUGUUUCUGCUAACGUUGCCUGAUUGACAUGCAGAAUUGUUUGCGUUCUAAGCACUUUUUGCAGAACUCUUUGACAGUUCCUGACAUUACUGUGUUAGAAGUCAUGUGUGUACCCGUCUUCCUUAAAAGCUUCUAGCAUAGCCUUUGACUUGCAGUUGAUGCUCACUGUUGGUUGAGUUGAAAUAGUUGGCUCCUUUAUCUUCUAUGGACUCAGCUGCUGAAAAGUUUUGACAUGAUUUCCAAACUAUAAUUUAGUAGUAAUAAUUGAAGGAAUCUUUUCAGUGCUGGCUCAAACAGGUUGAUGUACAUUUAUUUUCAAGAGAACAGAAGACAAUUUGAAGAUACAGUGGAAUAAUCUGGUCUUCCUGCUAUUUAGUUUCGCCUAAGAAGAAAUCGCUUAGUAGAUUAUUUGUGAAAUCAUACUGUAGACUUAAUCACAGAAACUGUAGUCAAAGUAGAUAAGGUUAACCCUGUUUCCGUAUGUACUCUCAAAUACAGUUGUUUAUUUUAAAACACAGUAUUGGUGAUGUAGUGGAGAAAUAAAUACCCAUUUUCACACAUAGUUGGCCAGAAUAAAAAGUGGUAAAAACUUUUAUGGAAGGGAAUUUGACAGGAUUUCUUAACACCUAGACUAUAUAUACCAGCGAUUCCAUUUUUAGGAAUUUAUCCUCCAGGUAUACUUAGGUUUAUGUUUAAAAGUAGGUACUGGUGGGGUGCCUGGGUGGCUCAGUCAGUUAAGCGUCUGACUUUAGCUCAGGUCAUGAUCUCACCGUUCGUGAGUUCGAGCCUCACAUCAGGCUCUGAGCCUGGAGGCUGCUUCAGAUUCUGUGUCUCCCUCUCUCUCCUCCCCUCCCCUGCUCAUGCUGUCUCUCUCUCUCAAAAAUAAACAUUAA